AUAGCCAUAUCACGUUGAAACACCUGUUCCCGUAAGAUCAUCGAAGUUAAGCAACAUCGAGCCUGGUCAGUACCUAGAUGGGUGACCGU